AGUGAACGCUGGCGGUAGGCCUAACACAUGCGAGUCGAACGGCAGCACAGUAAGAGCUUGCUCUUACGGGUGGCGAGUGGCGGACGGGUGAGGAAUACAUCGGAAUCUACUUUUUCGUGGGGGAUAACGUAGGGAAACUUACGCUAAUACCGCAUACGACCUACGGGUGAAAGCAGGGGAUCUUCGGACCUUGCGCGAUUGAAUGAGCCGAUGUCGGAUUAGCUAGUUGGCGGGGUAAAGGCCCACCAAGGCGACGAUCCGUAGCUGGUCUGAGAGGAUGAUCAGCCACACUGGAACUGAGACACGGUCCAGACUCCUACGGGAGGCAGCAGUGGGGAAUAUUGGACAAUGGGCGCAAGCCUGAUCCAGCCAUACCACGUGGGUGAAGAAGGCCUUCGGGUUGUAAAGCCCUUUUGUUGGGAAAGAAAAGCAGCAGGUUAAUACCCCGCUGUUCUGACGGUACCCAAAGAAUAAGCACCGGCUAACUUCGUG
rnacentral:rRNA from 1 species